rnacentral:rRNA from 1 species
UACGUAGGGACCAAGCGUUGUCCGGAAUCAUUGGGCGUAAAGCGCGCGUAGGUGGCCAUUUAAGUCCGCUGUGAAAGUCAGAGGCUCAACCUUUGAAAGCCGGUGGAUACUGGAUGGCUAGAGUACGGAAGAGGCGAGUGGAAUUCCUGGUGUAGCGGUGGAAUGCGCAGAUAUCAGGAAGAACACCCGUGGCGAAGGCGGCUCCCUGGGACGGUACUGACGCUGAGACGCGAAAGCGUGGGGGAGCGAACAGG